GGGUGAGUAACGCGUAUGCAACCUGCCCGUUUCAGCGGGAUAACCCGGAGAAAUCCGGCCUAAUACCGCAUGUGGCCGAGGGGAGGCAUCUUCUUUCGGCCAAAGGAGGCAACUCCGGAGACGGAUGGGCAUGCGUGACAUUAGCUUGUUGGCGGGGUAACGGCCCACCAAGGCGACGAUGUCUAGGGGUUCUGAGAGGAAGGUCCCCCACACUGGUACUGAGACACGGACCAGACUCCUACGGGAGGCAGCAGUGAGGAAUAUUGGUCAAUGGGCGAGAGCCUGAACCAGCCAAGUCGCGUGAAGGAUGACGGCCCUACGGGUUGUAAACUUCUUUUGUCAGGGAGCAAUUGAGUCCACGUGUGGGCUUAGCGAGAGUACCUGAAGAAAAAGCAUCGGCUAACUCCGUGCCAGCAGCCGCGGUAAUACGGAGGAUGCGAGCGUUAUCCGGAUUUAUUGGGUUUAAAGGGUGCGUAGGCGGAAUAUCAAGUCAGCGGUAAAAAUUCGGGGCUCAACCCCGUCGUGCCGUUGAAACUGAUGUUCUUGAGUGGGCGAGAAGUAUGCGGAAUGCGUGGUGUAGCGGUGAAAUGCAUAGAUAUCACGCAGAACUCCGAUUGCGAAGGCAGCAUACCGGCGCCCAACUGACGCUGAAGCACGAAAGCGUGGGUAUCGAACAGGAUUAGAUACCUUGGUAGUCCACGCAGUAAACGAU
rnacentral:rRNA from 1 species